rnacentral:lncRNA from 1 species
AAACUCAAAACUGCCUCUAUUUACCAAGCAGAGUGUGGGUCAGGAAGACAUUUGAGAUUUUCUUUCCUCUGCAAUUGUUUGCCUUGUUUUGGAGCCUAAAGCAAUAGAGUAAUUCCAUGACAAAAUUCCGGGUCAGAAAAGCUGACAAAGCAAAAAUUGUGACUGACUGAAAAAUCUUCUAUCAUUUCCUCCAAGCUUAAGAUUUUCAUUUGCAUUGUCUGGAUUUAAUUCACAGUCCCUGCCAUUCAUCUAUUUGAAUUUCUGCAUGCAUUUUUUGCUGGAUUAGUAUUUGUUGUUUUUCUUAUCAUCAGAUUUAUUAAAGGGUAAUUUAUUAAGAGGCACUCUGCACCCUGAGCCCUGCAUGCAUCCAGAAGAAAGCAGUGAUGACCACAGAGCUCAGAAACCUCAGAGCAGGGUCUGGGCUUCAUUACUCUGGAUUCCUGAGAGUGAGGCUGGACAAGGUGAAGAAGCUGGAGCCUUACCCAUCCUUAACUCUAGAUGGAUCCUUCUGGGGUGUUGGUAAGAAAACCCGCUGCAUGAGAAUGGACAGAGGAAUAGGUAACUGCAAGUCAGGAUUACACCAGUCACACAGAUGUGCACCACCACCAAUCUGCAGCAGGUUGGCUGGAGUCUCAGCGUGCUCACCCUAGAAAUACAGUCUCCUGUCUUCAGUUCCUUCCUCAUCUACAUGAGUCCCAGCUACAGCUUCAUCUCCCAUGGCAGCACCCAUCAGCACUGAUAGCAGCUACACAGAAAAGAAUGCAAAAAUGAGAAGUCAUGGGAUUGGAGUAUGCAAUCUUAUGAAUAGGAUGUGCCAAUCUCAGAGAAGCAUCCUGAACUGGAAAAAAAAAAAAAAA